rnacentral:lncRNA from 1 species
UAGCAGAAAAGAGCCUAUAAUGGGAGAUUACUAGAGAACCCGACAGACACACACCUUCAAGAGGGGGUGUAUAUCAAGUUCAACCUUUCCUAGCUGAAGAGGCUAAAUUCGUAUCUUUGAUCCGUAGGAUAGAGGCUCUAGAACUCAAGGAACACACCCAAGUGAACUAAGUUGCAACAAUCACUUGCAAUGGGUGUAAUGCCACAGACCACACGAU